UACAUGAACCUAGCCUUUGGUAGCCUGA
rnacentral:sRNA from 1 species